CGUACAAGGCCUGACAAAUCCCCCCGUACCCAGGAUUUUGAAAUGGCAUAUGAACAUAUAAAAAAAAUCUUUACAUUUGAAAGUGUACACCAGGACAUCUACAUGUAUGAUAUAGAACUGCAUUUCUGACAAAUAAAUAGUAAACAUUAUUACAUGCACUUGGUAUUCAUUUCCUUUGGUUUAUUUGUUUGCUUUCUAAUCAUUACAGCAUGAUCUCUUAUCUGUGCUAGCGCUGCUUCUAUCCGACAUUGAGUGUAAAAUGAAUAUUACGUAAUAAUUGUCAUAAUACAAAUGGUAUUAGAUAUUUUUUACAUAAUAGCCCAAUAAAAAGGCAAAAGAUGUUUUACUAAAAAGCAAAUGAAUUUUAUAUAAAACGCCGUUUAACGAUUCAAGCACCCUCUCAAUCGAGAAGAAUGGGGUGCAAGCCUCCGCCUAUCCUAGUGAGCUAAGUUGACACAUUAGGAUAUAGGUGAAUAAAUUUAACUGCUUGACAAUAUUUAAUACAGUAAAACUUUUUUGGUGAAACCCACGAAUUUGGCCGAUUAUGGGUCUAGACUUCAUUUUGAAAAAUCAAUAAUAAAAAUCAUUAAAAACUUAUUCUUUAAAUAAAAGUACUUUUAGAAUGGAGACUGGACCCAUUCAUACCUAAAUUUUUGCAAUGUAGAACAGUGAAUGAACCAAGAUUUUUGUAUAAAACGCUGUGCAGCUUUAUUUGGAAAUCUAUAACCGUGGUGUUUGUAGAACGAAAGCACAAUAUUGGCUUUCAUCCUGAAAUUUAUACUAAAAACAAUGCAUACAAACCAAACAUUAAUAUUCAAACUUCAAUUGAAAUUCUUUCGUCUCCAUUGCUCCAAGUGGGGGAUAUACAACGCCUUGUACGCCCAUGUCCUUUAAUACGUAUCACAUUUUAUCGCACCACUUUAAAAUAAGCAUAUAAUAUCGUACCUUAUUAUAUGAUACAAUAUUGUAUCACAUUGUCACAAUCAAUAGAUUUAUUCAUUCUUACUAUUUUCCUAUAGGGUACCUCUGAUUUUUAUUCUAUAUUCAUAUCCUUUUUGGUGCCUCAAUUUUAUCAAUUCAGGUAUUGGUCAAUAUUGGACUAUACUCGGACUGUUCUAUUUGUUUACUAUGAUGCUAUAAAUACCCAUGUUUUGGUCAGUGAGCCGGGGUCCAUUAGCACGCACUGCAGUAGUAACACGAUGUAUAGCUAAGUGUAUUUUUUACGGUAACCAUCUCCAUUAGGGGUUCCAGCAAGGCUCCAGCAAUGUCCCAGUGAUGAUUCGGCCAUAGUCACCAGUGUUCCGGUAUUGAACAUCUUACCACCCGUGCAACCUCCUUCGAGUAUUCACUUACUACGCUGGAAGCCGGUGGACGGAAGCCGUCAUCUUAGGACGUGGUACCGAAGGAGGACACAUUGGAGGAACACUGGAGGGACACUGCUGUCCAAUAUACCACCAUAGGACAAUGACGAAUCAGAUAUUAGAAACAUUUUUUUUUUGUUAAUAUUUUGUGUGUGUGUGAAUGUGUAUAUUUGUAAAUUUAUUGAUUUUAUAUAUAGAUAAAGAUUGUAAAUACUUA